rnacentral:rRNA from 1 species
AGCGAGCGCUGGCGGCAGGCUUAACACAUGCAAGUCGAACGGGCACUUCGGUGUCAGAGGCAGACGGGUGAGUAACACGUGGGAACGUACCUUUUGGUUCGGAACAACUGAGGGAAACUUCAGCUAAUACCGGAUAAGCCCUUACGGGGAAAGAUUUAUCGCCGAAAGGUCGGCCCGCGUCUGAUUAGCUAGUUGGUAGGGUAAUGGCCUACCAAGGCGACGAUCGGUAGCUGGUCUGAGAGGAUGAUCAGCCACAUUGGGACUGAGACACGGCCCAAACUCCUACGGGAGGCAGCAGUGGGGAAUAUUGGACAAUGGGGGCAACCCUGAUCCAGCCAUGCCGCGUGAGUGAUGAAGGCCCUAGGGUUGUAAAGCUCUUUUGUGCGGGAAGAUAAUGACGGUACCGCAAGAAUAAGCCCCGGCUAACUUCGUGCCAGCAGCCGCCGUAA